ensembl:piRNA 21ur-913 ncRNA
UUUAGCGGAUUUUUUACAGCC